GCCUCUUGCCAUCGGAUGUGCCCAGAUGGGAUUAGCUAGUAGGUGGGGUAACGGCUCACCUAGGCGACGAUCCCUAGCUGGUCUGAGAGGAUGACCAGCCACACUGGAACUGAGACACGGUCCAGACUCCUACGGGAGGCAGCAGUGGGGAAUAUUGCACAAUGGGCGCAAGCCUGAUGCAGCCAUGCCGCGUGUAUGAAGAAGGCCUUCGGGUUGUAAAGUACUUUCAGCGGGGAGGAAGGGAGUAAAGUUAAUACCUUUGCUCAUUGACGUUACCCGCAGAAGAAGCACCGGCUAACUCCGUGCCAGCAGCCGCGGUAAUACGGAGGGUGCAAGCGUUAAUCGGAAUUACUGGGCGUAAAGCGCACGCAGGCGGUUUGUUAAGUCAGAUGUGAAAUCCCCGGGCUCAACCUGGGAACUGCAUCUGAUACUGGCAAGCUUGAGUCUCGUAGAGGGGGGUAGAAUUCCAGGUGUAGCGGUGAAAUGCGUAGAGAUCUGGAGGAAUACCGGUGGCGAAGGCGGCCCCCUGGACGAAGACUGACGCUCAG
rnacentral:rRNA from 1 species